AUUUUAUUUUUAAUAGUGCACUAAAAUACAAAAGUGGCAGUUUGUGGAUUCCUUACCAAUGUAUAAAUGAUUGUCUGUUUUAGGAGAAACAUCUGAGCCUACAUUGAUAAUUGAAUAACUGAGAUCUCCAUUAAGUCUUCUGAGGUAAAUGUGACGGUACGUGACAUUGUUUACAAGCUGUUAUGUUGACAUCUUUGCAUGGUUAAAACACUGAUUGAUCGAUUACAUGAGACGGGAUACAGAUUUUGAGAGCAGCCCGUGGAGCCGUCUGAGAUGUUUUAUAAGGUUUUCCACACAGAUGUGACGACCUCAAAAUUUAUUAUGGAUUUUUAACGUCCUGCAGCUGUGACAGCUGCUUCGUGGCGAUGAUUUAUCCUGUAAAUUAAGAUGAACUGUUAUUUAUUCUUUAUAUUCAGAUAAUAAAAUAUCAGUGAAAACCACAACAAACGGCACCUCGAGCUUUUGUUUCCUAAGUCUUUGUUUCUUUUCAAGACGCCUGUGAAGAAACUUCAAA
rnacentral:lncRNA from 12 species